UACAGAGGGGGCAAGCGUUGUUCGGAAUUACUGGGCGUAAAGGGCGCGUAGGUGGCCUUCUAAGUCGAACGUGAAAUCCCUGGGCUCAACCCAGGAACUGCGUCCGAGACUGGGAGGCUUGAAUCCGGGAGAGGGAUGCGGAAUUCCAGGUGUAGCGGUGAAAUGCGUAGAUAUCUGGAGGAACACCGGUGGCGAAGGCGGCAUCCUGGACCGACACUGACGCUGAGGAGCGAAAGCCAGGGGAGCAAACGGG
rnacentral:rRNA from 1 species